GACGAACGCUGGCGGCGUGCUUAACACAUGCAAGUCGAACGGAAAGGCCCUGCUUUUGUGAGGUGCUCGAGUGGCGAACGGGUGAGUAACACGUGAGUAACCUGCCCUUGACUUUGGGAUAACUUCAGGAAACUGGGGCUAAUACCGGAUAGGAGCUCCUGCUGCAUGGUGGGGGUUGGAAAGUUUCGGCGGUUGGGGUUGGACUCGCGGCGUAUCAGCUUGUUGGUGGGGUAGUGGCUUACCAAGGCUUGGACGGGUAGCCGGCCUGGGAGGGUGACCGGCCACAUUGGGACUGGGAUGCGGCCCAGACUCCUAUGGUAGGCAGCAGUGCGGUAUAUUGCACUAUGGGCUGAAGCCUGAUGUAGCCACGCCGCGUGCGGGAUGACGGCCUUCGGUUUGUAAACCGCUUUCGCCUGUGACGAAGCGUGAGUGACGGUAAUGGGUAAAUAAGCACCGGCUAACUACGUG
rnacentral:rRNA from 1 species